rnacentral:lncRNA from 1 species
UUGCACUUAACAUGUUCCAGAGCUCAGUUCUGGCAUUCAAAACAGGUUUCAGUGCUGAGCCUGAAGAUGCUUCUAGAUGGAAAUAAAAUGAAAACUUGACUCUGCCUGGAUGCUUUCAGACAGAUAGCUCUUAAUGCCAGCAACCUCCUCAAAAAAUUUUUUUGCAGGGCCCCAGAAGAACCCUUGAAAGGCAGUGGGACCUAGAGGAGACCAAUGAGACCAUUUUCUGAGGAGAACUCAAAUGAAAAAAAAAAACACUCUGCACAGAGGGGAACACUUUACAAAAAUCACAAACAAUCAGGACUUACAAGAGAUAAUAAAUUAUGAAAGAAGACAGUGAUCUCCCCACUCUCCACAUUGUUAAUAGGAGA